rnacentral:rRNA from 1 species
AGUCGACUGGAAUUCACCUUCAGGUGAUAGUACGGUGGCGGACGGGUGAGUAACGCGUAAAGAACUUGCCCUCUAGACUGGGACAACUGUUGGAAACGACAGCUAAUACCGGAUAUUAUGAGAUUCUCGCAUGGGAAACUUAUGAAAGGCUAUAUGCGCUAGAGGAGAGCUUUGCGUGCCAUUAGGUAGUUGGUAGGGUAAUGGCCUACCAAGCCGACGAUGGCUAGCCGGCCUGAGAGGGUGAUCGGCCACAGGGGACUGAGACACGCCCUUACUCCUACGGAGCAGCAGUGGGGAAUAUUGGACAAUGGACCAAAAGUCUGAUCCGCAAUUCUGUGUGCACGAUGAAGUUUCGAUCGUAAAGUGCUUUCGGGGAAGAAAAAAAUGACGUACCCCAGAAGAAGCGACGUAAAUAC